GGCGAUGGUAAAAACUAAAAAGGGUUAAACUUGUUUAAGACAACAUAUUUCAAUUCAAAAUUGGAAAGAAAACAUGUGUCUAUUGAUUCAAGCCAAAUGGGUAAUCCCACCCAAGGCAUAGUGAAAACCCAAGUGACUCUCGCUAACUUUUGAAAACUUAAAUAUUUAUAAAUAUGUUAAUUUUGGCUAUUAUAAUAAGGGUGAAAGUGCUAUUUUUGUAAUGUGCCUGCGCCUAGCUGCCACUUGUAAUAUUUCUGUGCUGCGCUGUUUUUGGUAAAUUUCCAAGCCCCUUGCUAUAAAAACCUUUUAAACGCCUUCUUCUUCACGCCUCUAGGAGUCUCUUACCUUUUCGUUUAAUCUCUCUCGUCUAUGGCUCAAGCUCAUAUCCUAGGAUUUAGUUUUUUUUUUUUUUUUUCUCGUUUUCUUUAACAAAAUCUUAGCAAUAGGAAAGUCUCAGCAUAGUAUCAGAGCACUGGACCAACGUCAUGUGUCCUGGCGACGAAAGGUAACGCUGAUUCGAAAGCCAAUCUUGUGGAAGCUCGUGCAGUAGGAAAGCCUCAGCACUCUUGAACACAGCUCAAAAUGGUUAAGUAGGAACUUAAUAAAUUCCAAUUCAGGACCCUGGUUACUGGGAAUUGAAAGAGAAUCUCCUAGAUGAAUCAUCACAAUCUGAAGUUGGCCAAAACAGUAGCUUGAUUGAUUUUGUGUUUGCGGAAAUUCAAAAGCUUGCCUUGAACAUUCUCCGCUUCAAAUCUAAAUACAGCAAUAGGAUUCGUGUGGAUAUCAGCAAACAAGAUGGAAAGGCAUGAAAGACAAGAAAAUAUAUGGACAAUGAUGUCACAAACUUACUGAGAUCUGGAUGCAGCAUAAGCAAUGUCUGAAAAUCCCGCAUUAGCCAUUUCUAAGAUCAAAUUCAUAAAGAAUCUGAAGAGUAAGAUUAUGUACAAUAUGAUUAAUAAAAAUGAAGCGGUUGAAUAUAAGAGGAAAUACAGAAUACUGCAGUUGUUUAGGAAUCAUAUUUUUACCUUGAGGGAAAAAUCAGAAACUUAGAAGUAUUUUCAGACCGGAUAGUUGACUGAGAUAGUGUACCAAAUUGUAAAUCCGUCCUUGAUCUUGAUAUUCAACUCUGGCAAACUCAUCGGAAGGGAUAACUAAAUUGUAAAAAUACUAUAUAAUUGUUACUAAAAGUUUGACGAUAUUAUGA